rnacentral:rRNA from 1 species
UACGAAGGGGGCUAGCGUUGCUCGGAAUUACUGGGCGUAAAGGGCGCGUAGGCGGGUCGUUUAGUUAGAGGUGAAAGCCCAGGGCUCAACCCUGGAAUUGCCUUUAAUACUGGCGGCCUUGAGUAUGAGAGAGGUGUGUGGAACUCCGAGUGUAGAGGUGAAAUCGUAGAUAUUCGGAAGAACACCAGUGGCGAAGGCGACACACUGGCUCAUUACUGACGCUGAGGCGCGAAAGCGUGGGGAGCAAACAGG